GAUGAACGCUGGCGGCGUGCCUAAUACAUGCAAGUCGAGCGAACGGACGAGAAGCUUGCUUCUCUGAUGUUAGCGGCGGACGGGUGAGUAACACGUGGAUAACCUACCUAUAAGACUGGGAUAACUUCGGGAAACCGGAGCUAAUACCGGAUAAUAUUUUGAACCGCAUGGUUCAAAAGUGAAAGACGGUCUUGCUGUCACUUAUAGAUGGAUCCGCGCUGCAUUAGCUAGUUGGUAAGGUAACGGCUUACCAAGGCAACGAUGCAUAGCCGACCUGAGAGGGUGAUCGGCCACACUGGAACUGAGACACGGUACAGACGCCUACGGGAGGAAGCAGUAGGGAAUCUUCCGCAAUGGGCGAAAGCCUGACGGAGCAACGCCGCGUGAGUGAUGAAGGUCUUCGGAUCGUAAAACUCUGUUAUUAGGGAAGAACAUAUGUGUAAGUAACUGUGCACAUCUUGACGGUACCUAAUCAGAAAGCCACGGCUAACUACGUG
rnacentral:rRNA from 1 species